CAGACUUCAUUAAGCCCACAAACCUCCACUCCCCUCGCUAGUCCUGAACAGACAGUUGACGACGAUGAUGAUGAUAAUGCCACUGUCAUCAGUGACUUGUCGUGGGUGCCCGAAGAGCCGAUGGAUGAGGAGGAAUUGUUUGAUGAGGAGCAUCCAUGACCAUGACACCCCUGCCUUCUCCAGUUGUGCCCAUGGCCCUCUAGACGGAGAUCAGCGCAACAAAGAGUGGCUGGACCCAGGCUCAUUGGCAGCAGUCAAGUUGGAGAACAUAAUGAUGAGGGCUGCCUUACUGAAAGAUGUUCGACAGCUGUCUCCACAGCACCAGAC
ensembl:lncRNA